AAAUUGAAGAGUUUGAUCAUGGCUCAGAUUGAACGCUGGCGGCAGGCCUAACACAUGCAAGUCGAACGGUAACAGGAAGAAGCUUGCUUCUUUGCUGACGAGUGGCGGACGGGUGAGUAAUGUCUGGGAAACUGCCUGAUGGAGGGGGAUAACUACUGGAAACGGUAGCUAAUACCGCAUAACGUCGCAAGACCAAAGAGGGGGACCUUCGGGCCUCUUGCCAUCGGAUGUGCCCAGAUGGGAUUAGCUAGUAGGUGGGGUAACGGCUCACCUAGGCGACGAUCCCUAGCUGGUCUGAGAGGAUGACCAGCCACACUGGAACUGAGACACGGUCCAGACUCCUACGGGAGGCAGCAGUGGGGAAUAUUGCACAAUGGGCGCAAGCCUGAUGCAGCCAUGCCGCGUGUAUGAAGAAGGCCUUCGGGUUGUAAAGUACUUUCAGCGGGGAGGAAGGGAGUAAAGUUAAUACCUUUGCUCAUUGACGUUACCCGCAGAAGAAGCACCGGCUAACUCCGUGCCAGCAGCCGCGGUAAUACGGAGGGUGCAAGCGUUAAUCGGAAUUACUGGGCGUAAAGCGCACGCAGGCGGUUUGUUAAGUCAGAUGUGAAAUCCCCGGGCUCAACCCGGGAACUGCAUCUGAUACUGGCAAGCUUGAGUCUCGUAGAGGGGGGUAGAAUUCCAGGUGUAGCGGUGAAAUGCGUAGAGAUCUGGAGGAAUACCGGUGGCGAAGGCGGCCCCCUGGACGAAGACUGACGCUCAGGUGCGAAAGCGUGGGGAGCAAACAGGAUUAGAUACCCUGGUAGUCCACGCCGUAAACGAUGUCGACUUGGAGGUUGUGCCCUUGAGGCGUGGCUUCCGGAGCUAACGCGUUAAGUCGACCGCCUGGGGAGUACGGCCGCAAGGUUAAAACUCAAAUGAAUUGACGGGGGCCCGCACAAGCGGUGGAGCAUGUGGUUUAAUUCGAUGCAACGCGAAGAACCUUACCUGGUCUUGACAUCCACAGAACUUUCCAGAGAUGGAUUGGUGCCUUCGGGAACUGUGAGACAGGUGCUGCAUGGCUGUCGUCAGCUCGUGUUGUGAAAUGUUGGGUUAAGUCCCGCAACGAGCGCAACCCUUAUCCUUUGUUGCCAGCGGUCCGGCCGGGAACUCAAAGGAGACUGCCAGUGAUAAACUGGAGGAAGGUGGGGAUGACGUCAAGUCAUCAUGGCCCUUACGACCAGGGGCUACACACGUGCUACAAUGGCGCAUACAAAGAGAAGCGACCUCGCGAGAGCAAGCGGACCUCAUAAAGUGCGUCGUAGUCCGGAUUGGAGUCUGCAACUCGACUCCAUGAAGUCGGAAUCGCUAGUAAUCGUGGAUCAGAAUGCCACGGUGAAUACGUUCCCGGGCCUUGUACACACCGCCCGUCACACCAUGGGAGUGAGUUGCAAAAGAAGUAGGUAGCUUAACCUUCGGGAGGGCGCUUACCACUUUGUGAUUCAUGACUGGGGUGAAGUCGUAACAAGGUAACCGUAGGGGAACCUGCGGUUGGAUCACCUCCUUA
rnacentral:rRNA from 1 species